UUUGGAUAUGACUCUUGAAGAUAUGAUAAAAAGUAGGAGAAAUAUUGAGAAAGGAGGUAGAUUGACAAGGCAGGGCCUGGCGUGGAAGAGGGAAAGGAGGAUCAUUUAGAGGUGGAAGAACAACAGGAGCUCCUCGUAGAGGGGCACUUGGUGUAAAUGCUCGGCCAUCUGCCAACAGAAUUGCCAAGGCAAGCUCGAA
rnacentral:lncRNA from 1 species